AACGAACGCUGGCGGCGCGUCUUAAACAUGCAAGUCGAACGAUCUGUAGCAAUACAGGGAGUGGCGGACGGGUGAGGAACACGUAGGAAUCUACCUUGAAGAGCGGGACAACUUUGGGAAACCGGGGCUAAUACCGCAUAGUACAGAGAUGUUAAAGGGCUAGCAAUAGUCGCUUCGAGAUGAGCCUGCGGUCUAUCAGCUUGUUGGUGAGGUAAUGGCUCACCAAGGCUACGACGGAUAGCCGGUCUGAGAGGAUGAUCGGCCACACUGGCACUGAGACACGGGCCAGACUCCUACGGGAGGCAGCAGUUAAGAAUCUUGCGCAAUGGGGGAAACCCUGACGCAGCGACGCCGCGUGAAGGAUGAAGGCUUUCGGGUUGUAAACUUCGGUAGACUGGGAAGAAGAAAUACGUUCGUUGAGGGCGUAUAGUGACGGUACCAGUCUGAAGCCCCGGCUAAUUACGUGCCAGC
rnacentral:rRNA from 1 species